rnacentral:rRNA from 1 species
UACGUAGGGGGCAAGCGUUGUCCGGAUUUAUUGGGCGUAAAGAGCGUGUAGGCGGCCAGAAAAGUCCGCUGUGAAAACUCGAGGCUCAACUUCGAGCUGUCGGUGGAAACUUUCUGGCUAGAGUCCGGAAGAGGAGAAUGGAAUUCCUGGUGUAGCGGUGAAAUGCGCAGAUAUCAGGAAGAACACCCGUGGCGAAGGCGGUUCUCUGGGACGGUACUGACGCUGAGACGCGAAAGCGUGGGGAGCGAACAGG